rnacentral:rRNA from 1 species
UACAGAGGGUGCGAGCGUUAAUCGGAAUUACUGGGCGUAAAGCGCGCGUAGGCGGCUAUGUAAGUCGGAUGUGAAAUCCCCGGGCUUAACCUGGGAACUGCAUUCGAGACUGCAUGACUAGAGUAUGGGAGAGGGCAGUGGAAUUUCAGGUGUAGCGGUGAAAUGCGUAGAUAUCUGAAGGAACAUCAGUGGCGAAAGCGACUGCCUGGCCCAAUACUGACGCUCAUGUGCGAAAGCGUGGGGAGCAAAC